UACGAAGGUCCCAAGCGUUAUCCGGAUUUAUUGGGUUUAAAGGGCGCGUAGGCGGCCAAGCAAGUCCUGGGUGAAAUCCCUCGGCUCAACCGAGGAACUGCCUCGGAAACUGCAUGGCUUGAGGCCGGGAGAGGGUAGCGGAAUUCCCAGUGUAGCGGUGAAAUGCGUAGAGAUAUGGAGGAACACCAGUGGCGAAGGCGCUCUGCUGGGCCGAAACUGACACUGAGAGACGAAAGCUGGGGGAGCAAAUAGG
rnacentral:rRNA from 1 species